UACGUAGGGGACAAGCGUUGUCCGGAUUCAUUGGGCGUAAAGAGCUCGUAGGCGGUUCAGUAAGUUGGGUGUGAAAGCUCCGGGCUCAACCCGGAGAGGCCACUCAAUACUGCUGUGACUAGAGUCCAGUAGAGGAGCGUGGAACUCCUGGUGUAGCGGUGAAAUGCGCAGAUAUCAGGAAGAACACCUGCAGCGAAGGCGGCGCUCUGGGCUGGAACUGACGCUGAGGAGCGAAAGCAUGGGUAGCAAACAGGAUUAGAUACCCCCGUA
rnacentral:rRNA from 1 species